rnacentral:rRNA from 1 species
AGCAGUAGCCGCGGUAAUACGAAGGGGGCUAGCGUUGUUCGGAUUUACUGGGCGUAAAGCGCACGUAGGCGGACUUUUAAGUCAGGGGUGAAAUCCCGGGGCUCAACCCCGGAACUGCCUUUGAUACUGGAAGUCUUGAGUAUGGUAGAGGUGAGUGGAAUUCCGAGUGUAGAGGUGAAAUUCGUAGAUAUUCGGAGGAACACCAGUGGCGAAGGCGGCUCACUGGACCAUUACUGACGCUGAGGUGCGAAAGCGUGGGGAGCAAACAGGAUUAGAUACCCCGGUAGUCCCUGUCUCUUAUAA